rfam:Stegodyphus mimosarum contig46246, whole genome shotgun sequence.
GUCUUCGUGGUGUAGUGGUCAGCACGCUCGACGCGUAACCCAGAGGUACGUGGUUCGAUUCCCGGCGAAGGUA